AUGAACGCUAGCUACAGGCUUAACACAUGCAAGUCGAGGGGCAGCAUGGUCUUAGCUUGCUAAGGCCGAUGGCGACCGGCGCACGGGUGAGUAACACGUAUCCAACCUGCCGUCUACUCUUGGACAGCCUUCUGAAAGGAAGAUUAAUACAAGAUGGCAUCAUGAGUCCACAUGUUCACAUGAUUAAAGGUAUUCCGGUAGACGAUGGGGAUGCGUUCCAUUAGAUAGUAGGCGGGGUAACGGCCCACCUAGUCUUCGAUGGAUAGGGGUUCUGAGAGGAAGGUCCCCCACAUUGGAACUGAGACACGGUCCAAACUCCUACGGGAGGCAGCAGUGAGGAAUAUUGGUCAAUGGGCGAGAGCCUGAACCAGCCAAGUAGCGUGAAGGAUGACUGCCCUAUGGGUUGUAAACUUCUUUUAUAAAGGAAUAAAGUCGGGUAUGGAUACCCGUUUGCAUGUACUUUAUGAAUAAGGAUCGGCUAACUCCGUGCCAGCAGCCGCGGUAAUACGGAGGAUCCGAGCGUUAUCCGGAUUUAUUGGGUUUAAAGGGAGCGUAGAUGGAUGUUUAAGUCAGUUGUGAAAGUUUGCGGCUCAACCGUAAAAUUGCAGUUGAUACUGGAUAUCUUGAGUGCAGUUGAGGCAGGCGGAAUUCGUGGUGUAGCGGUGAAAUGCUUAGAUAUCACGAAGAACUCCGAUUGCGAAGGCAGCCUGCUAAGCUGCAACUGACAUUGAGGCUCGAAAGUGUGGGUAUCAAACAGGAUUAGAUACCCUGGUAGUCCACACGGUAAACGAUGAAUACUCGCUGUUUGCGAUAUACAGCAAGCGGCCAAGCGAAAGCGUUAAGUAUUCCACCUGGGGAGUACGCCGGCAACGGUGAAACUCAAAGGAAUUGACGGGGGCCCGCACAAGCGGAGGAACAUGUGGUUUAAUUCGAUGAUACGCGAGGAACCUUACCCGGGCUUAAAUUGCAGAUGAAUUACGGUGAAAGCCGUAAGCCGCAAGGCAUCUGUGAAGGUGCUGCAUGGUUGUCGUCAGCUCGUGCCGUGAGGUGUCGGGUUAAGUCCCAUAACGAGCGCAACCCCUAUCGCCAGUUGUCAGCGGCUGAGGCCGGGCACUCUGUCGAGACUGCCACCGUAAGGUGCGAGGAAGGCGGGGAUGACGUCAAAUCAGCACGGCCCUUACGUCCGGGGCUACACACGUGUUACAAUGGGGGGUACAGAGGGCCGCUACCACGCGAGUGGAUGCCAAUCCCAAAAACCUCUCUCAGUUCGGACUGGAGUCUGCAACCCGACUCCACGAAGCUGGAUUCGCUAGUAAUCGCGCAUCAGCCAUGACGCGGUGAAUACGUUCCCGGGCCUUGUACACACCGCCCGUCAAGCCAUGGGAGUCGGGGGUGCCUGAAGUACGUUACCGCGAGGAGCGUCCUAGGGCAAAACUGAUGACUGGGGCU
rnacentral:rRNA from 1 species